rnacentral:rRNA from 1 species
GUGGCCCCAUGUCAGGCGAGGCCACCCGCCGAGUUUAA